rnacentral:rRNA from 1 species
CCUACGGGAGGCUUCAGUGGGGGAUAUUGCACAAUGGGGGGAACCCUGAUGCAGCGACGCCGCGUGGGUGAAGAAGCUCCUCGGCGUGUAAAGCCCUGUCAGCAGGGAAGAAAAUGACGGUACCUGAAGACGAAGCCCCGGCUAACUACGUGCCAGCAGCCGCGGUAAUACGUAGGGGGCAAGCGUUAUCCGGAUUUACCGGGGGUAAAGGGGGCGCAGACGGCGAUGCAAGCCAGGAGGGAAAGCCCGGGGCCCAACCCCGGGACUGCUCUUGGAACUGCGUGGCUGGAGUGCAGGAGGGGCAGGCGGAAUGCCUGGUGUAGCGGUGAAAUGCGUAGAUAUCAGGAGGAACACCGGUGGCGAAGGCGGCCUGCUGGACUGCAACUGACGUUGAGGCCCGAAAGCGUGGGGAGCAAACAGGAUUAGAUACCCGAGUAGUC